AUUGAACGCUGGCGGCAGGCCUAACACAUGCAAGUCGAGCGGAUGAAGGGAGCUUGCUCCUGGAUUCAGCGGCGGACGGGUGAGUAAUGCCUAGGAAUCUGCCUGGUAGUGGGGGAUAACGUCCGGAGACGGGCGCUAAUACCGCAUACGUCCUGAGGGAGAAAGUGGGGGAUCCUCGGACCUCACGCUAUCAGAUGAGCCUAGGUCGGAUUAGCUAGUUGGUGGGGUAAAGGCCUACCAAGGCGACGAUCCGUAACUGGUCUGAGAGGAUGAUCAGUCACACUGGAACUGAGACACGGUCCAGACUCCUACGGGAGGCAGCAGUGGGGAAUAUUGGACAAUGGGCGAAAGCCUGAUCCAGCCAUGCCGCGUGUGUGAAGAAGGUCUUCGGAUUGUAAAGCACUUUAAGUUGGGAGGAAGGGCAGUAAGUUAAUACCUUGCUGUUUUGACGUUACCAACAGAAUAAGCACCGGCUAACUUCGUG
rnacentral:rRNA from 1 species